GAUCAUGGCUCAGGAUGAACGCUAGCUACAGGCUUAACACAUGCAAGUCGAGGGGCAGCAUGUUGGUUGCUUGCAACCAACGAUGGCGACCGGCGCACGGGUGAGUAACGCGUAUCCAACCUACCCUUGUCCAUCGGAUAACCCGUCGAAAGGCGGCCUAACACGAUAUGCGGUUCUCAGCAGGCAUCUAACGAGAACGAAAUAUAAGGAGAAGGAUGGGGAGUGCGU
rnacentral:rRNA from 1 species